GGGGUUGUGGCUCAUAGGUAGAGCACUCGCCUAGCACAUGCGAGACCCUAGGUUCGAUCCUCAGCACCA
rnacentral:tRNA from 1 species